UCAGGAUGAACGCUGGCGGCGUGCUUAAUACAUGCAAGUCGAACGAAGCACCUGCGACGGAUCCCUUCGGGGUGAAGAUGCUUGUGACUGAGUGGCGGACGGGUGAGUAACGCGUGGGUAACCUGCCUUAUGCAGGGGGACAACAGUUGGAAACGACUGCUAAUACCGCAUAAGCGCACGGCACCGCAUGGUGCAGUGUGAAAAGAUUUAUCGGCAUAAGAUGGACCCGCGUCUGAUUAGGUAGUUGGUGAGGUAACGGCCCACCAAGCCGACGAUCAGUAGCCGACUUGAGAGAGUGAUCGGCCACAUUGGGACUGAGACACGGCCCAGACUCCUACGGGAGGCAGCAGUAGGGAAUAUUGCACAAUGGGGGAAACCCUGAUGCAAGCGACGCCGCGUGAGUGAUGAAGUAUUUCGGUACGUAAAGCUCUAUCAGCAGGGAAGAUAAUGACGGUACCUGACUAAGAAGUCCCGGCUAACUACGUGCCAGCCGCAGC
rnacentral:rRNA from 1 species